GACAGAGGGUGCAAACGUUGUUCGGAAUUACUGGGCGUAAAGCGAGUGUAGGCGGUGUGGUAAGUCGGAUGUGAAAGCCCCGGGCUCAACCCGGGAAGUGCACUCGAUACUGCCACGCUAGAGUAUCGGAGAGGUUGGUGGAAUUCUCGGUGUAGAGGUGAAAUUCGUAGAUAUCGAGAGGAACACCGGUGGCGAAGGCAGCUCGCUGGGACGUUACUGACACUGAGGCGCGAAAGCGUGGGGAGCGAACAGG
rnacentral:rRNA from 1 species